GAAUUUUCGAUGCAUUUUAAUGCCUCGUUUCUCGCUUCUUGCUCGAUCAAGAUUUGUGAUCGUCCCGUGACGUCACGACGUGCAACGACGUGAAGUGCUCGUUGCGUCCCUACAAGUUUUUCGAGUACGUCACGCAUCACGUGAUCAAUUUUGGCGCAAAAUGUAUCACGAGCGCAGUGAAUGUCGGGAGUUAAUCGAGAAUGCCGAAAGUGUAACGACGGACAUUGCCUGGUAUCAAUGAGAAUAUUCAAUGAGCAACGGAACGACCUGACGAGAAAUUGACGGCGAGAACAUAUUAUUCUCUCAACCGAAACAGUGCACAAUUAGGAAUCGUCAAGUGGAUCUUGUAAUUAAUUAAAAUUGUUUGAUAUCCAUGCGAAUGUUCAAUGAUCAACGGAGCGACCUGACGAGAAAUUGGCGGUGAGAACGAAUUAACUCGUAGUGUGAUUCACGCGUCGCGUCGGGAGUGCCGUGUAAAGUAUCGCGCGUCGGGAGUGCCGUG